UACGUAGGGGGCAAGCGUUGUCCGGAAUCAUUGGGCGUAAAGAGCGUGUAGGCGGCCUGAUAAGUCGGCUGUGAAAGUCAAGGGCUCAACCCUUGAAUGCCGGCCGAUACUGUCAGGCUAGAGUCCGGAAGAGGCGAGUGGAAUUCCUGGUGUAGCGGUGAAAUGCGCAGAUAUCAGGAAGAACACCUAUGGCGAAGGCAGCUCUCUGGGACGGUACUGACGCUGAGACGCGAAAGCGUGGGGAGCGAACAGG
rnacentral:rRNA from 1 species